GCUGAGGGAUGCUCUCAGAGCGGCUCCGCACCGGGAGCCGAGCGGGAGGUGGGUGAGCCCGUGCCCGUGCCCGUGCCCGUGCCCGUGCCCGUGCCCGUGCCCGUGCCCGUGCCCGUGCCCGUGCCCGUGCCCGUGCCCGUGCCCGUGCCCGGAGCCCCUCAGCUCCCACAGCGACCCUUCCGACACAAGAGUCCCCUUCGGGGCCCUCUCCGGGGCUGUAGGAUCUGUGAGAGGGGUCGGGGAUCCAGGACGGCGUUCUUUUCCGUCCCUGUCAGAUCUUACGGAGCGAGGCAGACCUUGUGUUGAAAGUAGUGCAAAGUCCUUAGGUGUCUCAUCAAUGAAUCUCGGGUGACAAAAGCCUGGAGGAAGCCAGACCAGCUCUUCUCUGUCACAGAGCACAAGGGCAAAGCAGAGGAAAGAAGCCAAACCCAUAAAGGAGGAAGAAAGCUCUGAAAAGGUAAACCAGCAUGAGAAAUGCUCACUCAAAGCUCCGAAGCAGAGGUUAAGUCUCCCUUCUCAGAACUGCGAGUGCUCUUUCACCCUGAAAACCAAGACUACAUUUUAAGGGAAGGUGUUCCAGACCUCUGACCGUCUUUGUGGCCUCCUCUGGACCUGCUGCAAUAGAUCCCUAUCUUUGCUGUCCUGAGGACCCCAGAGCUGGAUGUAGCACUGCAGCAGUGUUAAAGUCUUGCUGGUUUUUCAAUAUGGAAGACUAUUCAAAUGUCCUUAACACAACAGCACAAAGAGCACAAUCUUACAGGGAGCUGCAUGAUACAGAACCAAAGAAAAGGAGAGUGAAAAAGACCCCACAAGGUCAUAUAAUCCAAGAGUUUGCCUAAGGAAAGAGUACAGGGAGCACUAAUAUCUGCUGAACUGCCUUGCCAAAACUUGGAUACAACUUGGAUACAAGGCCCCCAGUAACAGCCUUCCCUUGCACUUUCAGACCUCCUUUUCUGUAAAGCAUUGGGAGCUGUGAGUGUGCCAGGAGAGAGCUCACUGCAGGACCUGAGCUUCUGCCCUGAAGCUGUAAGACAAUAAAGCUUAUCCCGCUUGUUCAGGUUAUGCAGAGUGA